rnacentral:lncRNA from 13 species
CUGAUACGAGUCUGGAGUAGAACAACACUAGGUUUCAUCAGAGCUACAUAAAGAUUAGUUCUACAGAGUUAAAUCCACUUUACAGAUUCUAUCUAUGAUAAGCCUAUUCACACAGGGUUGCCAACACCCAAGACCAUUUUAUUGGAGAACUUCAAGGCUAUAAGGCUGUUUUACUCAUUCUUAUGUCUUCAAAAAUGGGUAAUUAUCAUUUGUAUUUCUCUUCCAGGGCUACCCCAAGAAUGCCACCGUGGCUUAAACAUGAGAAAUUUAUUUUCUUUCAGUUCUGGAGGCUGGAAGUCCAAGUGGUGCCAAUAGCAUUCGUUUCCAUUUUAACUCAACGAUUGGUUUUCCUAUCAAAAGAGAGACAUGAAAGGCCAAGCUCACCUUUUUCUCUCAAGGUAAGCUUUCUCUCAGGUCCAGUUCCCUCUGUUUGAUAGCAGCUCCCUGAAGACUUCAUUUUGGAUCUAGUUUGGUUAACACUAACUUCAUAAAAACCUUGCAUUCCUUCUGGGACCAUGAAGACUUUUACCCUUUUAGUCUUUUCUGGCAAGCCCUUUCUGGUACGAAGACACUUUAUCUUUCUGGUCUUGGUGAGUAUUCUUCUGACUUCAAUUUUAUUCUGAGUUGUUUAUUUUUGUACUUUUGACUGUUGAUAGGCCUUUCUUCUCUGUGUUUUAACAUUUAUCAAGGUAAAUAAAGAUGGAAUCCCAAAUUUCA